AGUCCACAGUGUGAGAAUUCUGUUUCACUCUCAGCAAGAUUUUGACAUUUUGAAAUGAAGAAAUGAGAAAGAAAUCAAGUAGUAUGCUGUUCAAGACUUUCGAAAGAGUGACUGAAUUCCCCAAAUCUCUAAUUGUGGCCAAUAGCAUGCAUGUUCAGAUGGCAGCAAGAUGGGAAAAUACUUGGGAUGAAAUGCUUUCUUGUCAUCAUUGUCACCUCCAUCAACAACAAGACGUUCGUAAAGUGACUGUAAAAACAAUUGUCUAUAAUUCUGUCCUUCAGAAGUGCCCACAACCUAAAAUGAAAGUGGAGAUGUGAAUGAAAUCUUAUGCAUUUACAUAAAAAAUUAAAAAACGAAUGAAAUCUGUAUUACCAGCUGUUAGUUUUUGUGUAUGCACUUGCAUCUUAAGAGCAUGUGGCACAAAGUAAGUACUUCAUGAUACUUUAUAAAUGUAGAAAAUUUGUAUGGUUGAGCUAAAUGGACAAAAGGGAUUAAGAAUUCUGAGGCAUUACCCUCAGAGAGUCCUCAUUUUUCCUAGAUCACACGCUUGGACCCUAAUCAUAUCUUUAUUUACUGAGACCUAACGUCCCUUCAGUGAUGAUCAUGAGUGUUUCCCUAGCCCGUUCAGUCGCAGAUUAACAUUUUUGUUGUAUGUGAAUAAGAGUACUUGAUACCUGUUUUUUUCUUUCUUUCUUUCUUUCUUUCUUUCUUUCUUUCUUUCUUUCUUUCUUUCUUUCUUUCUUUCUUUCUUUCUUUCUUUCGUGACCCUAGAGAUAGUCAAAUGCUGGAAAUCCAAGAGUUGAAUCAUGAUGGAACCUCAGAGACCCAUUUAGCAUAAUCAUCACAUUUUACCGAAAAAGAAACUGAGGUCCAGAGUGGCAAUCUUACUCCAAAUCAUGCAACUGAUCCCCGCCCCCCCCGCCCGGGCUACUCGUUUCCUCUGAACAGUUGCUGGUAAAAGAUAAUCCAAUAUCCCUUCAGGGCACUUUGUUGAGAAACCAUGUACAAAGUGAUUGUCUAUGCAACAUUCAAAACGGCUG
rnacentral:lncRNA from 12 species